rnacentral:sRNA from 1 species
GCCAGGCAAGGUGGUGCAUGUCUGUAAUCCAAUUAUUCAGGAGGCUGAGGCAGGAGGAUUGCAAGUUUAAGGCCAGCCUAGGCAACUUAGUGAGACCCUGUCUCAA